rnacentral:rRNA from 1 species
UACGUAGGGUGCAAGCGUUGUCCGGAAUUAUUGGGCGUAAAGAGCUUGUAGGCGGUUUGUCGCGUCUGCUGUGAAAUUUCGGGGCUCAACCCCGAACUUGCAGUGGGUACGGGCAGACUAGAGUGUGGUAGGGGAGACUGGAAUUCCUGGUGUAGCGGUGAAAUGCGCAGAUAUCAGGAGGAACACCCGUAGCGAAGGCGGCACUCUGGGCCGGAACUGACGCUGAGGAGCGAAAGCGUGGGUAGCGAACAGG